rnacentral:rRNA from 1 species
AGAUGAGAUUUCCCAUUCCGCAAGGAAGUAAGAUCCCUGAAAGAUGAUCAGGUUGAUAGGUCUGAGGUGGAAGUGUGGCGACACAUGGAGCUGACAGAUACUAAUCGAUCGAGGACUUAACCAU